rnacentral:rRNA from 1 species
CAUAAAAUAGCUUAAAUCAAAGCACCCCGCUUACGCCGGGGAAGCUGUUUGUUUAAAUCAAAUUUUUAUGAGCCAAACCCCUAGCCUAACUUUUCGUAAAACUAUUCCCCCCGAACCAAAACAUUUGACCUAUCUAGUACUGGUGAUAAAAAAAUAAAUAAGAGCUAUAACAAUAGUACCGCAAGGGAAAGGUGAAAUAUAGUGAAAAAGCCUUAAGCAUAAAAAAAUAGAGCCUCACCCUCGUACCUUUUGCAUCAUGGUUUAACUAGUCCAACCAAGCAAAAAGAUUUUAAGUUUGACCCCCCGAAACUGGGCGAGCUACUUCGAGGCAGCCUUUAGGGCAAACCCGUCUCUGUUGCAAAAGAGUGGAAAGACCCCCAAGUAGAAGUGACAAACCAACACUCGGGAAAAGGAUUUUAGUCCGACCUAAAGUUAAACUAAUAAUAAUAAAUAAAACCUCAACUUUAGUGUCCCUCAGACAGGGUACAGCUUGUCUGACACAGGAUACAACCUCAAAUAAUGGGUAAUUUUGCACCCUCUGUGAUUUUGUGGGCCUAAGAGCAGCCACCAAAUAAAGAGCGUUGAAGCUUUAUCACACUUGUGUAAACAAUUACAACAAUCCCAAUCAACCCUUUAGUAGUACCAAGUAAUUUUAUAAUGCUAUAAAACCUAUUAUGUUAAAACUAGUAACAAGAAGAAAGACCCUUCUCUUUAGUGCACUUCUAAGUCAGCAUGGACAGGCCACUGACGAUUAAUGCUUUGAGCCCCUAGUAGAAACUUUAACAAGAAAACCCUAUUAACCACAACGUUAACCUAACACAAGAGCACUUCAAGAAAGAUUAUAAAAAAAAGAAGGAACUCGGCAAACACUAGCCUCGCCUGUUUACCAAAAACACCGCCUCUUGCAGAAUAUAAGAGGUCCCGCCUGCCCAGUGAAUAUGUUCAACGGCCGCGGUACCCUGACCGUGCGAAGGUAGCGUAAUCAUUUGCCCCCUAAUUAGAGGCUAGUAUGAACGGCUACACGAGGGCUAAACUGUCUCCUUUUUUUGAUCAGUGAAACUAAUCUCCCCGUGAAGAAGCGGGGGUGUACCCAUAAGACGAGAAGACCCUAUGGAGCUUUAAACAAAGCAACAACUGCAGGCCCCACCCCCCCCCAACCCUAAGGGCAGCUCACUGAUUGCUAGUUUUGGGUUGGGGCAACCACGGAGUAAAAUUAAACCUCCGCGCUGAAAAAGACACGACCCUAAGCAAAAACCUACAAUUUUAUGCAUCAACAAAUUGACAACAUUGACCCAAUAUUUUGAGCAACGAAACAAGUUACCCUAGGGAUAACAGCGCUAUCUACUUCGGGAGCACAUAUCUACAAGUAGGCUUACGACCUCGAUGUUGGAUCAGGGUAUCCUAGUGGUGUAGCAGCUACUUAAGGUUC